AUGGCUCCUGCUGCGAUCAUCCGAGGUGUCCCGCGCGCGGUGCUCAUCGUGGCGGUGCUGGUGCUGGCCUCGCGGGGCGCGAGCGCGGCACUCUCGUGCUCUACGGUGUACAACACGCUGAUGCCUUGCCUCGGGUACCUGCAGUCAGGAGGGGUGGUCCCGCGGUUGUGCUGCGGGGGGAUCAAGAAGCUGGUGUCCACGGCGCGCUCCACCCCCGACCGCCGCACCAUCUGCACCUGCCUCAAGAACAUCGGCGCCGGAGCCGCUGGCGGGCCUUACGCCAGCCGCGCCGCGGGGCUGCCGCGCAAGUGCAAAGUCCCGAUGCCCUGGAACUGCAACUCG
rnacentral:rRNA from 1 species